CCUCAGGCCACGCUGGGGGUCAGGGCAGUCUCCUGUCCCAGACUCCCCUCUGAAGAUGCCCAGCAGGUCAGACCAGACUGACACCAGGAACACCUAGGGAUUUCGCAUGAGGCCGGCUGGAGGAAGACCCUGAGGACGGCCCAGCAGGGCGACUGGGUGAAUGUGCCUGAGACAGCAGAGCUUCAUGCAGAAAAAGUCUGAGACCCAAAACACUGUAUUGGCUUCAAAGGAAGUCAUGAUAUUGACGUGAAAUGUCUUUGAAAUAUAAUACUAUAUCAACCAGUCAAAAGGGUGGCUCAGCGGUUAAAGAAUCCACCUGCCAAUGCCGGAGACGCUGAAACACGGGUGCAGUCCCUGGGUCGGGGAGAUCCCCUGGAGGAGGAAAUGGUAACCCACUCCAGCAUUCUUGCCUGGGAAAAUCCCAUGGACAGCGGAGCCCGGCGGGCUACAGUCCCUGGGGUGGCCAAAGAGUUGGACUUGGCUGAGAGCAAGCAGGACUACUUCCUCUCCAAGAGCACGAUGUCGAGGAGGGCAGGGCGGGGAGAAGCGUGGCAUCACAGCGGAGAAACCUGGCGAGCACUGCCUGAGCCCGGUGAUCAAGGUCAACAUCAGCAGCGAAAGAUCCUGUUGACAGAGUGCACUCUUGAUGUGAUAUGAUAAAAAUGGCACUUUACUGCUGAGAGCUUCCUCCUCAAAACCCAUCACCCCCACCUAGCUGCAACAAAAACAGCCGGCCAGUUCUGCCAAUAACGGAGCAGCCUACAGAAAAAACGUCACAGCCAUCCCUCAGAACUGUCACUUCACCGAAAAGAAAGCACGUCUGAGAAACCGUCACAGCCGUGAGGAGCCUAAAGGACGUCACAACAAAAUGUGAUGUGGACUGCUAAAUGGGAUUCUCAAACAGAGGGGAAAAAAAAGACACUGGGUAAAAAGAUUUUACAAACCUGAAUGAAUUGCAGACUUUCACUGUAACAAAUGUUACUAGUAGGUAGACGGAUGUUAAAGCGUUCAUCAUUGGAGAGGCUAGGUGCAGGGUGCUAUCUUUUUCAUUUUUCUUUCAAUCUACAACGGUUGUAAAAAAAUAAAGUCAUCCUUAAAAACUAGCAUCUUUUUCCAAUAUGCUGUCUUAUACAUUCUUUUUAAAAAUAUUUGUUUAUUUAUUUGGCUGGGCCACAUCUUAGCCGG
ensembl:lncRNA